CGAGCAGUGCGCACGCGCCGGGGGCGGCCACGCUCCUGGCCGCGGCCGCUGGAACUUUCUGGAAAUGGCGGCGGCCCGGCUGCGCGGCGCCUGGUGGCGGGGCAGGGGCGGGAGCGGGCAGGUGAGAGCUCUCCAGCUCCCGCACGGCUGGAACGGGACUGAAGCCCCGGGCGCGAUGCCCCCUUCCCUAGUCGCGCCGGCGGCCGCCCCCUCCCCGGGGAGGGGUUUUCCGGCGGCGAUGGCGCAGUGAGUUUUAAGAGCCAGCGCACUGCGCUUGCGCGGUAGGCGCAGCCCGGUGGCGGCUGCGCACCCAGGUGAGGCGGGUGCGGCGGGGACCGGGCAGAGGCGGUCACGGAGGGGCGGUCACGGAGGGGCGGCUGGCCGCGCUGCGGUGGCUGCCGCCUCUGUUGCCCGGGCACGUACGCCGGGGCUGAGUGUUGCGUGCCGGCAGUCAGAGGGUCCGUAGCUUUUGGGAGACGCCGCUGGACGCAGGUGCGUGUGGCGCGGUGCCGGAGAGCCCGGUGGACGUUCGGGGCACCCGCGUAGAGAGGCUGGGGGAGGAGGAGUCCGGCGCGUCUGGUGGCCCGGUCAGCGAGCUCUGCCUCCCGCGCUUCGCUGCGGCCGGAGGCAGAGUCGCCGUCGGCGCCCUCCCGCCGCUCUCCCGGAGGUUCCCGUCCCGGCGGGCGCCGCCAAUGCAGGCGGAGAGCGGCAGGGCACGGCCCGCCCUUUGAAUCUUGGGGCUGCUUAUAGUUACUAAAGAAACAACCACAAAACCUAUACGUUUUAAGGGUGUCUUACCUGUACCAGUAAGCCAGGUGCCAUAUAUAUGCAUCAAACGGGGUUACAGAAGCAGACUGAUGUUAGUGCUAGUUGCAGUGCUAAACACUAGUCAUUUGUGAAAGGCUGUGCAUCUAUUUAUUAAAAUGGUAUGUGGUAAGACUUUUAAGAAUCUGUGUGGUUUUGUACUCGUGGGUUCUCAAGUAAUACAGAUUGCCUCAGUAAGGUGUUGGGGAUAGUAGUAUUGUGGCUAUCGCAUGUAGCAUUUUGAGAGGGCAGCAAAACAAAAACCUGCUGUUUGAGGUAGUAUGAUUGCCAGCCACGCUAAGUCUGUUUUUGGAUGAGUUUCAUCUGCUAUUAUGUAGAAAGCAAGAACUCCUAAUAUUUACUAUGCAAGUCAGAAAUGUGAAUUUUUCAGAACUAAAAAAUUAGUUUGAUUAAGGCCAUCUAAUUGUGUGGAUUUCCCCAGUAUUCUGAUCUCCACGCACCACGUUUCAGCAUGUGUAGAGGAUAGCAUGGCAAAUCUCAAAUAUUCCCAUGCUGCACAGCAGCUUAUUGUUUAGGCAGAGUUCUCUCACUUGCUUUCAAAAUCUUACUGUACAAAUGCUGGUACAGAUAAUUCAUGCUGUAAAGCAACUGCCCUUGUUCUUACUUGGUUCUGUUAGGAUACCUUGAGUACUGUCAGCUGCCCAGGAGCAGGUAUGGUGGCACCCAUCACUACAUAACAAAGGGAGUUGUAUUCACUUAAUGUUCUUUCAGGUCAGGUUGAUUACAGAGGACAUCACUUGACAUGGCAAGCAGACUGAAGAGUAGACAGGCUAUAGACUGCCAGCAUAAGUGGAGUAAGAACUAUUUCCCAAGGCAGUGUUAAUUUUUUUCUCACAAUUUCAUAUAGGGACAUUAGGGAUUAUUUGAAAGGUUGCAGGUGCAGUGCAGCAGUGUAAUACUACAUUCUGAUCCUAGUGCAUCAGCACCAGCAGCAUGCAGUUCCAGGAUUUCAGUGUGUGCUGGCAGACACUCUAAACCAGCAGCUGAGAUAAUGGAAGGAAGCUCAUGAGCAACACACCUUCUGCAGCAGAUGUUAAGAUUUGAUGAUAAUUAUUUGUUGGGAACAAAAAAAUAGGGUUCCUUAAGCCUUUUUUAAGAACUGCUGUUUGGACUAGUAAAAAACAUCAGUCAGUUGAUCGCUAAUUGCUACCCCUACAUUAGUUUCUUCCUCUUGUCUCCAGAUGCCGCUCUCUUUUACAUAGCACAGCUGCAGAAAGCCUUUGUGCUGCAUUGGUGUCCAUAGUAUUUUCCUUGAUCUGCCUUCCCUAGUGAAACACUGUGUGUUACCAGCUGUGUGAACUGCUGAUCUUGCUGGAGACAAACAUGGACAGCAUCUGGUUGAACUGUGUCACUGCUGAAUUUAGUCUAGUGAUUGAAUGACAAAAAAUCUGCAAAAUGUCACGCUGGUGAAAGCACAAGUGUCCUCAGGUAAUCAGCAGGUCAGCCUAUGAAUGCAGCCAACGUACUGCACAGGUGGAGUUGAAUUUCAUUGUUUUUCCCUUUUUAAUGACACAACACAGGUCCAGAUAACAUUUUUCUAGUGGUGUGAAGGUAAUGGAAAUCCUUGCUGUUAUCCAACAUUAUCCAAAUGCGUAAUUCUAUCUAGGAGAGUUUCCUAUUACUCCAAGCUUUCUCCAUCUUUACCAAAGGAAAGAACAACCACCACCACUCCCAGUCCAGUGGAUUCUUUGUGUGUCCCCUGCUUGUGUGUUCUAAAUGGUAUUUCUUUUCCCAAGAUUGUGUCUAUUUUUCUUAAAACCUCUACUAGGUUGUUUGUUUUUCCCCAGUUAAAGGGCAUUUUUUUUUCUUUUUUCCACUUGGUAACCCUUUGCUAUUGAGGAUUGAGAAUAAUGGAAAUUAUAUCCUGUUAAUACUUGCUACUUGAAGCUAUUAAAGAAUACAAGAGAGGACUUGGAUAUAUUAAUAAGUCUUUUAACACUAUUCUAGAACUCUUCCAUAGUGAUCACUUUGUUAAUCCUAACAGUCCCACAUAAACUAGCAUUGUGAAAAUAAUUCUGUAUUUUGUAAACAACUACACGUAAUAAUUACUGCAGAAUAUGUAUUUCUAGUUGAGGUGUUUGGUUUGAAAUAUUCAACUUUAAACCCUAAAACAACACAAGAUGUGAUUUUUUCUUUAAUAAUUUAUCUUAAUACAGCAAUUGCCAAUUUUUUUAAUGUAGAAACUGGGAUCAUAAAGCCUAGUGUAAUUGAUUAAUAAAACAGGGAAGAUGAUAGAGUAAUGGUUAUUUGCUAAUUUCUCUUCAAAUAUUUGUCCUAUAGCUGCCCUACAAUACGCAAUUUAAUUGUAAACAGUGGUGUGUUGCAAUAAGGAUAAUGUAAAUUACCCUUUUCUAGUGAAGUGAUUGGUAAGACUGUUACAUCAGAAUGACUGACAUACUUGUCUGUGGAACAUCACUAACAUGAUCGCCAACUGUUGAGCUCCAUCUUCUGCUCAAAAGACAGACAUCAGGAACUACCUGAAAGAACAUUGGAAAGAGGCAGAAAUACCAACAUCAACAUCACUUAUUCAGCUUAUUCAUCACUUAUUCAUCAAGGAACUUCACAGACCCUACUGAAAUAAAGGUUGGCCAGACAAAAGUGAUGUUGAUCCCAGUCAUACCAAAGGCAGUAUCCAAUUUUAUCAGUCACAUUUUUGUUAAAGAUACUUCCUUGUGUUUAGAAACUGUUUUAAGAUUUUAGAAACAGUAUUUAAGAAACAAUAAGAACAGGUAACACCCAAGUCAAACAAAUUCUUCCAUUCACACAAACAUAGCUGUAGUUGAGAUAACAAAGAACAGUGGGAAAUCACAAACAGGAACAGUUCAGAAAUAACAACCCUUUCACAAACUCACAACCUUUCUGUUUUUUACCAGAAAUUGAAAAAAUCCAAAAAGCCAAUGGGCACUUUUUGAUUGACAUGAUCUAGACACUAAUCUUAACAGGGGGUAUCAUUCCCCUAUUAGGUACUAAGCCAAAUCAGAAGAGAUGUUUCAUGUUUCAUGCUCCUCCCUAGUCAAUCAUCAAGAACAUGAAAGUUCUUCCCAGCCCCUUUUGUCUUUGAAUAUAUAGAAAGGCAUUGAAUAUAUGCCAUUCUGUUAAGAAAAUUAAUGUUUUUAGCUGUAGGUUGGGAACUCAAAUAAUGGGAACAGGAAUUUAGUUGGCCAUUGUUAUGCAAAUAUAGCAUACCGUGGG